CUUGAACGCUGGCGGCAGGCCUAACACAUGCAAGUCGAACGAGUGGCGGACGGGUGAGUAAGGUAUGGGAAACUGCCCGAUGGAGGGGGAUAACUACUGGAAACGGUAGCUAAUACCGCAUACCAUCGGAUGAGCGCAGAUGGGAUUAGCUAGUAGGUGGGGUAAAGGCUCACCUAGGCCACGAGCCCUAGCGGGUCUGAGAGGAGGACCAGCCACACUGGAACUGAGACACGGUCCAGACUCCUACGGGAGGCAGCAGUGGGGAAUAUUGCACAAUGGGCUCAAGCCUGAUGCAGCCAUGCCGCGUGUAUGAAGAAGGCCUUCGGGUUGUAAAGUACUUUCAGCGAGGAGGCGUUACUCGCAGAAGAAGCACCGGCUAACUCCGUGCCAGCCGCCGCGGUAAUAC
rnacentral:rRNA from 1 species